ACUAUUUUCAAGGAGAGACACUCACCCUGC
rnacentral:piRNA from 1 species